rnacentral:tRNA from 2 species
GGCCCCGUCGUCUAGCCCGGUCAGGACGCUGGCCUCUCAAGCCAGAGGUCGCGGGUUCAAAUCCCGCCGGGGCCACCA